ensembl:misc_RNA Y_RNA Y RNA
GGCUGGUCCGAGUGCAGUGGUGUUUACAAUUAAUUGAUGACGAUAGGUUACAGAUUCCUUUGUUCCUUCUCCACUCCCACUGCUUCACUUGACUAGCCUAAA